UCUCAAUAAUAUAUGUAUUAUUGCUAUCCCACUUCACAGAUGAUGAGACUGAGGCUUGAUGGGGAGUGGGUUAAGAAAUUGCCUAGGCCCAUGCAGACAGUAAGCAGUGGACCUGGGACUUGAAUCCAGGUAAUCUGACUUUAAAGCCCACAUUCUGCAGGUUUUUGCAUCCAUAGCUUCUCUCUCUGACUAGAACUCUUGUCCUGACAGGUAUCUGGAAAGAUUAUGUUCUUUACCUCCCAGGAUCUAGGCAGAUCAGCACAAAUGUGACAUCAAAAUGGCAGAUGACUGGGCUAUUUCAGAGAUGAUUCCAGAGAACGUUAUGUAUUUUUUUGUAGGCAGAAUCACUAUUAAUUGUCAUUGAAUUUUUAGGUGAAAUUAUUUGCCAAGUAUUCCAUACUUAGAAUUCCAAGUGUUACAACCUCCAGAACUCUAACAAUAUAUGCACACGUUUAUAUACACAUUCAUAUAUGUGUUUGUGGGUAUAAAUGAUGAGGUGUAUUUGAUUUAAAGUUAAUUAUUUGAAUUAUUUGGGUGUACCAAUCCACUGAACUCUUUCCCAGUUGCUCCUAAACCAAGUUGUUCCCAGGAAAAUCAACAGAAAUUCUUCAAAUGAUCUCUAAGUGGAUCAUUUACUCUUCCAAAGAGCUUUUUUGUUGUUGAUAUUCCCAAGAACAAUAUUCUCUAACUGCAUCUUCUGAAUGCUCAUAGAAUCUUUGUUCUGAAAUCUGAAAAGGUUUAUCUUAUCUAUUCACCCAUACCUGGGCAGGAAAUUAUCUUAGAAGAUUGUAUUUAAAUUUAUAAUGACCUGCAGGGGAUACCAUACCACCUCUCUUGGCAGCUUAUUGCCAUCCCUAAUAAUCUAGAUAGUCAGCAGAUAUUUCCUGAUGUGCAAUCCACAUCUCUCCUGCUGCUUUGGCUCAUUCCAUUUGGUUGUUAGGAUACUGAUGCUAUCCUGUUCGUGGUCCUUUUCUCAAGGCCAGGAAAUCACAGCAUUUAUAACAGAGUCAAUAGCUAUGGUCACAUUCCAGUUUCUUUAAGUGCCUCCAUCUUGAACAGCCCUCUGAGCCCCAAUUUUUAUAAUGUGGCUGAGGAGCUGUGAGAAUGCCAUCUGUUUGCAAGAAUGAGGCCAUUGAUGGCUGUACACUUGACUCUGAAGAUGGCACUACUCAUCCAAAUCGAGAUUUCAGACUUAAAGAAGCUUGCUUGCACAGCUAGGUUGACCCUCGCUUUGUAGGGAGAUGUGACCAUUUGAGAGUAAUUGAAUGGAAUCAUGAGCCUGGCAUGGCAUCUAUAUAGCAUUUUUGUUUAUUGAGUAUAAUUACUAUACUCAGCUUUGUAUAAAGCAUGGGAGUAAUAGGAUCAAAUUAAGGAAACUACUUAGCUGGAAUAGCAGGGAGGUUCCCUAAUGAAGAGAUCUGAUAGACCAUGGAAUAGUCAUCCCCAGGAAUGCUGGUCUCAUUGAGAUGUGGUUACUUACCAUGGAACUAAAUCGUCCCCCACUGGAUGCAUCUCAAGCCCUUUUCAUUUCAGUUUGUGACUUUGAUUUAAUUGGAAAAGUCUCACAGCUGUUGUUGACUACCUAAGGCUAUGCUUUUCAAAUUCUAGUUGUGGCAGAAUCACCUAGGGAACUUUUUAAAAUGCAGAUUCUUGGGCCCCAUUCUCAGAGAUUCUGUUUCAUUAGGUCUGGGUGUUGUCUUGGAAUCUUCAUGUUUACUGCAUUUCCUGGGUGAUUCUGAUGUACAUGUGUUGUAAACUCCAUUUUGAAAAACAAUGAGUUAGGGCCACUUUGGGAAGAUUCUUUAUCUUAUAAGAAAUCUUACAAGCAGAGAGACAGGAAAGAGUAAGAGGAAGUGUCAUGCUACCUGACUCUUCAGUUUUACAGCUGACACGAAAUUGAAACCAUAGAAAUGGAAAACCACGAAGAGAUUAAGUCCAUGUUUGUGGUCCUAUCCCCUCACUUGUCCUUGUUUUGGGUGACUUUUUCUACAUUUUUUUAUUCCUGUCUGCCAUUUAUACCAAGUAAAGUUUUGGCCAAUGAG